rnacentral:lncRNA from 1 species
AAUAAAAAUCUUACAAAAUAUGAUGAUAUGACAUUAAAAUUUUAGAUCAAAAAUAUUGAUCUUGUUUUAUAUAGUAUAAAAAAUUUUCUAUCAAAAUUUCACGUGAUUUGAAUAUUUCUAUACCGUUAAACUUGUAAACAGCUCACUACGGCUAUUAAAAUUAUUGAUUUUGAGCUCCUUCGAUCACUAGGCAAAUGAUAUCGAAAAAUCACAAAAUUUAUUUUCUAGGUACUUCAAAUACUCUAA